rnacentral:lncRNA from 1 species
AUUUGUGAAGAAUAUGGCUAUUUCAAGAAGUACCAAGAAAUUGAAGGGAAGAGAAGAGAGUAAAACUGAUUUAUGCUUAGAAGCCCUUAGUAGUCCAGGAUAAGAUUGUAAAACACACCAAAAUUGGAGAUGAUAAUUUAUGCUACCAAAAGAGAUAUUGUUUGUUAGAUUGCAUAUGUCUGUGUGGAGGGAGGUGUGAGAGACUGCACUAAAGUUUAUACACUUCCAAACUAAACAAUAAGGAUUGUCUGACAAAGUAUCCAGCAGCGUGUUAUUCUGACCUCCUUUUGGCCCACGGGCUUUUUGAAGGUUUUGCACAAUAAGGUCAAUGAAGGUUAAGUGGAUACACUCAAAGAUGAACAUGAUGUGGAAGCUCUGAUAGUUAAUUCUGGGACUUUCAUGUACUGUUUGGAUGCAGGGCUUGCCAAAACUACCACAGGAAAUAAAGUAUUUUGGCUUCCAUGGAUUCUUUUCCAUCCCUCACAAAAUCAAAUUAUUCCCUGGUUCUGUUUCUCAAAGUCAAGAGUUCAAUAUGAAACUAUAUUGUAAGCAUACCAUGGGCCAGUAUGUUGCAGAUCAAAUUUUUCAAGCUAAUUGACAAAGAAAAACAUUCUUAUAAUAAUCCACUGUACACCUAACGUACAAUAUAGCUCCUCUAUAAUGUGUAGAGGACAAUGUCCUCUAUACAUAAAGGACAAUAUAACUCUGAACACAAGGUGGUUGAGGAAUAAGAAAGCUUAUGCUGCAACCCAAAGAUGCAUGUUCCAGUCUAUGAGGAGGGACCUAUGAAAAAAGCUUAAGUGAAAAGGUAGUAUUGCUCCAAACUAUCAUACCCAGAAAAAGGUCAGGUUGCUUAGCAGCAGCUAAGUGACAUCACAGCCUAGGAGCAGGCU